rnacentral:rRNA from 1 species
GCUCAAAUUUAAAAUCUGGCGGCUUCGCUGUCCGAGUUGUAAUUUAGAGAAGCGAUGCCCGCGCUGGACCGUGUACAAGUCUCCUGGAACGGAGCGUCGUAGAGGGUGAGAAUCCCGUCUUUGAUACGGACUACCAGUGCACUGUGGUACGCUCUCGAAGAGUCGUGUUGUUUGGGAAUGCAGCACUAAAUGGGUGGUAAAUUCCAUCUAAAGCUAAAUAUUGGCGAGAGACCGAUAGCAAACAAGUACCGUGAGGGAAAGAUGAAAAGAACUUUGGAAAGAGAGUUAAACAGUACGUGAAAUUGUUGAAAGGGAAACGCUUGAAGUCAGUCGCGUCGGUUGGGAAUCAGUCUCGCUCUCGGGCUUGACGUACUUUCCAGUCGACGGGUCAGCAUCAGUUUCGACCGCUGGACAAAGGCCGAGGGAACGUGGCACCUUUGGGUGUGUUAUAGCCCUCGGUUGCAUGCAGCGGUGGGGACUGAGGUUCUUCAGGCCGCAAGGCUGUAGGAUGCUGGCAUAAUGGCUUUAAUCGACCCGUCUUGAAACACGGACCAAGGAGUCUAACAUGCCUGCGAGUAUUCGGGUGGCAAACCCGUGUGCGCAAUGAAAGUGAAAGUUGAGAACUCUUCAGAGUGCAUCGACGCCCGGACCUGACGUUUACUGACGGAUCCGCGGUAGAGCAUGUAUGUUGGGACCCGAAAGAUGGUGAACUAUGCCUGAAUAGGGCGAAGCCAGAGGAAACUCUGGUGGAGGCUCGCAGCGAUUCUGACGUGCAAAUCGAUCGUCGAAUUUGGG